GGUCAUUUUUUAUUACCACUGUUAAUUUUUAAUUACUAUUUACUUUUACAUUUACUUUUAGUAAUUAAUGUUUAUCUCUACAACUUAUUUGAAUUUAAAAAAAAAUCUACUUUCUUGAUAUUAUUUUUUUUGCCAGAGACCCUCUUGAUAUUCAGGAGUUGCCAAAAUACCACCUCUUGUGCUUUGAUUAUUUUCUCCUAAUUUUUGAACAUUCUUCCAAAAUUACACAGAUCGUUCAUCAAUGGUCUUUUUUAAUCUGAUUUCAAUGACAUAUUCCCAAAUUUUUCUUCAUUACUUGGUUGGCUUUUUUGUAUAGAUUACAGGUCUUAUUGGUGACUUCCAUUUUGUUUUUUUUUAUCACGACUUGCUAAAAGUAAAGGAACUAGCUUUUGAACAGCCUACUCAUGCUUUUGGUCUAUCUUGAUGAAGCCUUGUCAUAAUUGCAUAACUAGUUUAUGUAUUGUUGACUCAUGAAGUGGUGAGUUUGGAUAGAAUUUCAGAUGGCUGGUUCAUUAAUGUGCAGGAAAUUUUCCCUCUGUCUAGCAUUAGAGAUAUUGUUCAUAGAUUCUUAAUCAUUAUAACAUAAUGUGCUUCAUAGUCAAUUCUGUUACUCUGAAUGUUUUUUUCUUACCUCACAAAUUAUGUAUCUAUUACAUUUUGUAAUGGCAGUGGUUAUGCAAUGACGAGUCCUCCCAUGAGCCAAGACUAAAAUUGAAGGCUUUUUUUUUAUCAUUAUACAGAUGUCUGGCAAGGGGAGCCAGAGCAGUGUUUCAAGCAUAUCCGGAAAAUACAGCGCAGCGUGUGUUGAUUUUGAAGUCUGCAAUGCAGGCUGGAUUUGCUAGAAAAGCCAGAGAAAAAAAUUGUUCCUUAGUGUCACUAUUUACUACAUCUUGUGGGCCAAAAAUGAAGCAAUUUUUAAAUUUGUGUGGUAGUCAAUCAAUUCAGAUAUUAUUGUUUAGACUAAUGCAUUCAUUUAUAAAUUGAUUUA